GCCCUAGGGGCGAAAUCGGUUAAGUGCUCGGCUGCUACCUGAAAGGUUGUGGGUUCAAACCCACCCUGCGGCU
rnacentral:tRNA from 1 species